rnacentral:rRNA from 1 species
GACGAACGCUGGCGGCGUGCUUAACACAUGCAAGUCGAACGGAAAGGCCCUGCUUUUGUGGGGUGCUCGAGUGGCGAACGGGUGAGUAACACGUGAGUAACCUGCCCUUGACUUUGGGAUAACUUCAGGAAACUGGGGCUAAUACCGGAUAGGAGCUCCUGCUGCAUGGUGGGGGUUGGAAAGUUUCGGCGGUUGGGGAUGGACUCGCGGCUUAUCAGCUUGUUGGUGGGGUAGUGGCUUACCACGGCUUUGACGGGUAGCCGGCCUGAGAGGGUGACCGGCCACAUUGGGCCUGAGAUACGGCCCAGACUCAUACGGGAGGCAGCAGUGGGGAAUAUUGCACAAUGGGCGGAAGCCUGAUGCAGCAACGCCGCGUGCGGGAUGAAGGCCUUCGGGUGGUAAACCGCUUUCGCCUGUGACGAAGCGUGAGUGACGGUAAUGGGUAAAGAAGCACCGGCUAACUACGU